CAGACCGGGUCCACCAGCAAGAGAGCGGAUAUCCCAUGCCAGGCCCGACCACGGCCCCUAGAGCUCCUUGGUCCAGCAAAGCUGGGGGUGUCUGGGGGACAAGACACGUGGCGAGGUUUGCUGUGAUGCUUCGUCUCUUUGCGGUGCUGAAGUGACCGGGAUGAAGACUCUGGCCCCUUGGGGGGCUCCCGCAUGGGUGAGCACCCGUGAAGAACGUGCAAGUCCGCCAACAUUUCCAUUCGGGGCCUGCCGUGGAGACUGAAAACAGCCUGACCGCUCAGAGGCUCGAGCAGACUUGCUCUUUUAUGCUCAUUUCUGAUAGCACGUAAAUCACCAAGUUCAGCAGCUGCCCGGAAGGGAAACGAGACCUAGGCGUGACUCAGUGUCCCAGUCCGGUGGCCGCAUCCCUGCGAAAUAUCAACCCCAUGAGAACCUUCUAGCACUCUCUUGCCUUCCUCCUCAGCUGUGUAUUCCUGAGCGGCCGCCCGAGGCCUGGCCCUUGCCUGACAGUUGCUGACCACGUGCCAGGCACCGGCCAGGACUGCCCACGGCCCCCCAACUCUGACGACCCCGAGAGACUUGUGAUGGCCGUAACUGUUGAACUUGUGUUUGCAAGUGCUUGGCAGGAAACCGCAAGCAGCACGUUGCUUUACUCCACAUCCAGACGCACACCGUUUCCUCUGCUGGAAAACACAUUAAUCCGCGUAGUGAGGGAGAGGUGCCUGGGCUCUGAGGGAUGCCGUGUUCUGUGUGGCCCGCUGGUGGCUGCUUUAAGGGGCUCCAGCACACCCUCAAAGCCACUGCCCUGGGGGUCACACAGUGACCCCUGGAAGGCGCUGGGUUUGGGGGACCUCAAGUCUCAGAGCAGUUGGACCCCUGGUGGGACCAGGCUGAGCCUGGGGCUGGGGCCCCGUGGGGACUGGCUCUUGGACACCAGAGGACACUGUUGCUGAGGGUGGCUGAAAGCCGAAACAGGAUAACCCAGGAAGAAUUGAAUCACACACUGGCGACCCAGGAGGGACCCUCAAGGUCAUCGGCUUCCCUCCUUUGAGAUAAUAAAGGAUUCUGAGGCCUGGGGAGGGGGACAGGAUUCACCCCCAAAAUUAAGCACUAGGAAGUGAUGGAUUUAGAAUUUGAACCUGGGCCUAUUGCCUCCUGAUCGCCAUUCCUGGGCUUGCUGUUACAAAUACACCAUAUACACGGAAACGUGUAACGCUUAAAGGACUUUAUUGCUCGAAUAUUGGGCGCUCCUGACUCUUUGGGGACCUAAAGACAGAAGUAAAAGCAGCCUGGGGUGUCUCACGUUGUCGCUUUUCCCAGCCUUCCCCUCACAGCAGGAUGGAUGCUCACCUGAUGCAGAUGCCCCGCCUUCAGGGAGCCCACUGGCUUGGGAGUGGCUCCCCAGUCUGCGUCUCGGGGGGAGUCUUGCCUUAAGAUGCUUUAAGAAAGCGUGACAGAUGUGAGAGAAGCAGCCGAAUGAAGAUUUUAACGUGAGUCGGUGAGGUAUUUCUGGAGGCAUCCUGGAGUCCUCAGCACUUACCUUGGCGACAUUGUGGGCACAGAAAGGGGACAGCAAAGGGCAAGAGGAUCUUUCUAGGGUCUCCCUGACAAGAUCCGCUCUCGUUCAUUGGCACGAUUUUUGCUUUUGAGAGCAAGAGCUUUAUUUUUCCAUUUUCCUUGCUCCCUAUGCCUUAUGUAACUCUGUGGGCUUGUUUUAAAGCCAGAUGAUAUGCGUGGCUGAUUCUUGUUCUGGGAAUUAACGUGGUAUGUUCACCCGAGUUCAGGGCAUCAAGCUGCCUGAGGAAUGUUGCUGGGACUCCACACAGAUUCUGGCCUCAGUUGACACCUCACCUGAAGCAUCUCAUGGAUGGACGUCCUUGAGGACGCAUCUCAUGGAUCUCAUGGAUGGACGUCCUUGAGGACAAGGAUCUGAGCCUCAUUCUGAGACAGGCAGGGAGGGUCUUGGCCAGGACUGCGUACCCGGGUCUGUGCCCCUCAACGCAGGGCUUGAACUCAGCACCCUGAGAUCAAGAGCAGGAUGCUUAACCGACUAGGACCAUCCCUGGCGCCCCCAAAAGGGAGAUUUUUACCUUUCACCCUACUUGACACGUGGAAAAAUAAGGAACAGAAAACGAGGUCGGGUGGGUCAGAAGACUCCGCUUCCCUGUGGAGGUGUGAGUGCAGACCACGCGGACAGGUGACAGGCAAGGGCCAGUCCGGCUGUGACUUGCUACCAGCGUACCUGGGCGUACGUCCUCCUGGCGCCACGCCGGGCCCCCGUCCUGCUGGAAACACCUCCGCACACGCAGACGCUCCAAGGACCGCCUUCGGGCUUCAGCGAUCCCACAGACAGUUGGAACCCGUGUAUCAGGUCCUCGUCACGGGGAAGGACCUGCAAGUGUUUUCACUUGUCCAACCCCCAGCAGCGUCCUACCAUUCCCCAAUCCCCUCUUCCCCUCUGCUGACAAGAGCAGGAGCAGAGAAGUUCUCACGAGGAGAACACUCUCGGUAAUGAAAAUGACAAUUCACGACCCAGUUCGAGGC